rnacentral:sRNA from 1 species
GUUACACAAUAUUAUUGGUGGAGACUAGAUAGUAUUCUAAUCUAGACCCUUAAACUAUAUAAUAAUAUUGAGAUACACGUACACGUACAUGAGCGCUCCAAACAGUUAUAUUCUAAAA